rnacentral:rRNA from 1 species
CGUACGUCUACGAGAGUAGUUGUAUCGUGCUAGGAUGAACGCUGGCGGCAGGCUUAAUACAUGCAAGUCGAACGGUAACGACCGGUAGCAAUACUGGGGCGACGAGUGGCGCACGGGUGCGUAACGCGUAUGCAACCUACCCUCAACCGGGGCAUAACGCCGAGAAAUUGGCGCUAAUAUCCCAUGUGUAUAAGAGGUGGCAUCACCUAUUAUAUAAAGAUCCGUUGGUUAAGGAUGGGCAUGCGUAACAUUAGCUGGUUGGCGGGGUAACGGCCCACCAAGGCGACGAUGUUUAGGGGUUCUGAGAGGAUUCACCCCCCACACUGGAACUGAGACACGGUCCAGCUCCUACGGGAGGCAGCAGUAGGGAAUAUUGGGCAAUGGAGGCAACUCUGACCCAGCCAAUGCCGCGUGAAGGAAGACGGCCCUAUGGGUUGUAAACUUCUUUUGCCGCAGAGUAACCCGGGGGACGCGUCCCCCGCUGAGAGUAUGCGGCGAAUAAGUAUCGGCUAACUCCGUGCCAGCCGCGGC